rnacentral:lncRNA from 1 species
GGCAGGGACCUUCCCUGAAACUGAGACAGCAUGAAGACACUCCCCACUUCAUCCCAUGCUUGAAAUCACACCCCCCAUAUAUACACCCUUCACCCCAUGUCACUCAGAACAGGCAUGAGUUUCUUAGAAGGAAUAUGAAAGGGAAAUGGGGACCCGCUCAAGGGAGAGAGUGGGUCCUCUCACAAGGGCAGCCUUUCCAGCUUUACAAUUUCAUUGUGGUUCUCAGGGAUUUCUAGAGUCCCACCCAGGUCCAUCUCUUGGUUUUUGACUGACAGUCUGAUGACAUCAGACUUUCAAGUCCCCACUGCCAAGAAAACUCAAAGUCACUUUGGCCUAUGCUGACCUGUUCUAUUUGGACCCUGUUCUUGCAGAUUUUACGGUUAGGGGGAAUUAUCUUUUUCUCCCUGAGUUCUGAGAUCUGGUCUGUAUAAGGGUCACGAAAGUCCCCCCACACACACACACAUAUACAGGCCUGCAUUUUCCUGCAGAUAACACGUGAUUGGCCAAGGAAUGUGAUAUAUCCUGUCCAUUUAAGUCAGGCAAGGCUGUAGGUAAAUUUCUUUUAAAAAAUGAAAGCCUGUAGGGGUGAGCACAGUGGGCCCAGUUCAUAGAAUUAUUUCCUUAACCUCAUGUGCCCCCCAUUAUUUCAAAAUAGGCUUUGAAUAAAAAUUAUUUUCCUACCAAUUUGACUGAGAAUAUUUCAAAAGCAAACAACACUAUAACCCAACCUCUUUCUUCGAAUGUAGUUUCAUUUGACCUUGGAACUAUGUAAAAAUAUUUUAUGCGAUGAUAAAACUAAAUAUUAAAAAGUUCCAAUCCCUAAACGUCAACAAUGCAAUGAGUUAAAUGGAUCUGUGUAUCUAAUGGGAUGAACACAGAGAAGGGAAUCUUCCAAAUAGACUGGGAAACAGGAUUGUAACUUCUCCUCUGUGACAGACCUUACAGCAGCAGUUCUGACACUUUGAACACAGGGCCCAUUUAUACUCUUGAAAAUAAUGAGAAUCCAAGGGCUGGGGUCAUGGCUCAGUGGUAGACUGCUUGCCUGAUAUGUAUGAGCCACUGGGUUCAAUCCUCAGCACCACAUAAAUAAAUAAAGGAAGUAAUAAU